GUUUUACCAGUUACAGCCACCAGUUUUACCAGUUACAACCACCAGUUUUACCAAUGAAAACCACCAGUUUUACCAGUUACAACCACCAGUUUUACCAGUGAUGAGCUCCCUGACAUUUGGCACCGGGACAGGACGUGUUCCAUCCUCAGGGGCUGUGGUUCUGUCAGCAGAUCCACAAACCCCCGUGGUCAAGAUGCUGAAUCUAAUCACCUUCUCCAUUUCUGGGCCAUAUUUUAUUAAACGUUUUCAUCACUUUGAGCUGUGCAUUCAUAGCUCCCCAGAUUUAUAUCUGUAAUUAGGGGAUCGUUAUUUACCAGCUGGUAAAAAGACACCUUUCAGCAACAUAAUUCAAAUGUCAGGAGUUACUGCCAGCUCCAGAUUAAUAGUACAGUUCUUUCUUUGGCUACAGGUUAGGAGCGUGGCUGCUGUCAGAAACCCUUGGAAACGUUUCAGAAAUGCUGGGAAACAACUAUUUGUGUUUUUUCCAGCAGAAGAAAAUCAGUUGUAUGCGAAAGAAAGUGAUCCUUCUCCCAGAUCUAAGUUCGGCUGAAAUCCUGGAACAGCCAAAGUCUCACCGAGUCCAGCAGCACCGGUGUCACUUCACAGAUGUCCCCUCUUUGGUCACCUCUUUGGUCACCUGCCUGUGCUCCAGCAGGAAGCUUUGGCUGCUGAUGGUGAGGCACUUCCCACACUUCUCCAAACCCAAUUCAUUCCCUUUUCUCUGGUUGCUGCCACUGCUCAAGCUCUUUGUUGAGCUUCUAUAAAUGCUCUGCCCCUUUUGAAACGGGGGUCAGACAUUUGCUUGGUCUCAUUCCUGCAAACCCUCCCCAGUAUCACAGGCAUCCCUGGCUGUUCAUCCCAGGCACUCAGAACUCGCCUGGACAAAACCUUCAUCAUGGAAAUUAUUUUCUCCAUAAGCAACACGAGAUGCUGAGGUUUUUCCAACGUGGGAAUGCAGCUGAUGGAAAUGAAGGCUGACUGUGCACAUGUAAUUCAAGGGAGUAGCUUUGGGGAAACAUCAGCCAGGGGAAGGAGGAAAAGAAAUUUGAAUUCAAUUGGAUUUUAGUAACUUCAGCUUAGGUUUGAAUCAUAUUUACGUGCUUCUCUCUCUCUCCUCUGUUUGCAAGUUUUAUUGCCAUGGCUCUGGUGUCUUGGAGCGAUGUGAAUUAGUGGGUUUGUUAUUGCUGAGAGGGAGGGAAGUGCAGCAGCAAGGAAUGAGAUCGUUCCCUGGAGUCCUGCACAGGAAAAGUGUGCAAAACCUGGAGCUGAACCCAGCUCCCAGGAGACACCGAGUGGCCCAGAACGGAUGCUGUGCCGGGCCACGAGCUGCCAACAGGAAGCUCAAGUCGGAUUUAAAACUCAAUUAGCAUGAGGGAUGUGAUGGAAAUGGGGACAUUUAGGGCAAAAUCCUCCCUGCCUCGCACGGGGACCCAGGAGCUUUGCAGCUUUGCUGCUCCUGCUUCCAGCAGUGCCCAAAUGUGAGAGUUUUGUGCAGUUUCAGAGCGAGGAUGAAAGUGAGAAAUCAUUUAAGAGCCCGAGCUCCAGCGGGAGCACCAGCAGGAGCUGGAUUGAUGGAAGUGCCCCAAAUUGAGGGUGGUUUCAGGGCGAUUGUUUUUAUUGUUGGUUGCAAGCUUUUGGUGAAAGCUUCUCUAAGGGAGUAUUUUGGGACGAGGCAAAGACUUCUCACAGGGUGAACCAAAGAUGAAAUUACAGGUCUUUAGCAAGAGCUGCGCCUGUAAAUGAAAAAUACGAUGUGGCACAGUAAAAAUAAGACCAUUGUCCUGAAGUCUUGGGCUAUGUCCUUUCAAGUGUACUUUGGGGAUUAAUCAGCAAAUGAUUGUGUCACAGCAAUUUGGCUCAAGUGGGUUUUUGCUUAUAUGGCAGCCUUGGAUUACACACCCACUGCCAAUUAAAUAAUUUCAAAUAAUGCAGCUGUAACACUUGCCUGCUGUGGCUCCUGCCUGGCCAGGGUUUGCUUCCUCAUGGUCCUGUUCCUCCAGCUCAGCCACGUGCUCGGGAGGCUCUCCUCUGCAGGAGAGGGUGCAGAGUGCUGCUGUCUCUGUCAGCACGUGGAAUCCAGCCCGUUUCCACCUUCUCCAGGCUGCAGCCCACACUCCACUGGGGCUGGGCUCUGGAGCUCUCCCAGCACAGCACAAGGAGCAGGAAAAGGCAGUGGCUGAAGGAGACCCAGCGUGCAGCCUUGGCCACAGGGGAGCUGGGAUGGGGCUGCCUCCCUCAGGGAUGUACUCAUUGUCUUUUUUCCUUCUGAAUUUUCACACCGUGUCCACAGAAUCACAGAAUGAUCGCAGCUGAAAAAGAACAUCAAGUCCAACCUUAAGUGUUCCUUAGUUUUGAACGAAUCCACAAUUUCACUGGUGUAGAAAUGGGAAAUUAACUCCAAAGCACUCCAAUUGAAAGAAUUCCAGCCUAGUUCUGGUGGGGAUUAAGCAGCAUUUCAAGUAAUUCAUGGCUGAAAUGCCUUCAUCACUUUUGCCUCAUGAAACCAGAAAAGGACAUAAAGUAACAGUAAAAAUUCCCGUUUUGGGAGGGAAGACUCUCCUUCCUGGCAGCGAGGAUAAGGAAGUUUGCUGUGUUUCAGGAGGAUUGUCAGUGGUUACUUUGAUUUCAAACGUUAACUCAGCUCAUCCCAAUCCUGCCCACUCCCCAGCGUGGCUCUGAUGGAAGCUGCUGAUUUAUGGGACUGAAUCUGGAUUCCUGUUUGGGAUUCAGGCCUUGGGUGGAAGCACUAAAAGCUCCUGCACGCUGCUGUGCUCCCAAAGGCAGGGCAGGGCAGGCUGUGCCCUCUGGAAGUGCUGGGCUGCCUCGUGUGACCCCUGCUGCUGGAGGCUCCGGGUGAAAAUGGAAAAGUCACGGCGCAAACACCCGAGGCACAGCAGGGCUUUUUCCUCCCUGAGUGCUCUGGGGCUUUGCCUGUCUUUUACUUGUUCCUCUCCUCUCCAAAAUGCCUUUUUUUUUUCUCUUUUUUUCCCCCUGAAAGAGCAUGAAAAGGAAAAUUGCUAAUGAGUCAAACCACCAGAAGAAUUAGGGGAUGUCUUGAGGACGUGGAUUUUCCUCCAUGGCUGUGGCAGAGCUGGAGCCCACACAGUGCCCAGCCCUGCACUCAUCAGCCACCCCUAAUUAAAUUAACUGUCUGCAAUUAACACACAGCCCAGCACCACUCUUUUGAUUCAUCUUCUGGUUCUCCAAACUGAAUUGCUUUUAAUAAAAACCUUAUAAAAAGCAAUUUUAUUCUUGUCUGCUCACGCCAACCCUGAGCCACCAUUGGUGUGUCUUAAAUAUUCAGUUUGGUUUAGGCAGAGUUGGACCCUGAGCUAAUGGAGCAGCCAGAGAGGGAAUGUGAGACACCUUCUAAACUCAGAGAGGAUGCAGAGCACCUCCAAGGUGGGUAAUUAAAGAGCCAGGAGAGAAACUCUCCAAGUUUAAUACAAAAAUAAAUGAUGGGUUUAGCACUGCUGCGUGAACGCUGCAUUUCCCAGUAGUAAAAGGCUGCUUGUAUCUGGGUCAAGAGGAAAAAAAAAGCUGCUAAAAUUAAGAAACACUUCUAAGUUUUGGGUUAUUAGAAGAGAGAGAGGUUCAUGAGAAAUUCUGGAUUGUCAGUGGUGCAAAUGAGGAUUUCCUGAUGGGCAGGUGAGUUUGUUUGACUUUUUCCUUAAAUAUUUGCAAGAAAAUUAAAAGCAGUGCUUUGGCUCUGUGAAUAUUGACACCAGCUUUUCCUCUUUCAUUAGCAGGACCAAUAUUUGCUGAACUGAACCUGUGGCCCCAGGGCCAUGGCCAGGAUCUGCACUGCCCUGAGGGGUCAGGGGAGAGCAGGAGCCAGCACUGGAACUAAAUGGGGAAAUUGUUUCAUUAUGGGCCUUUUCAGGAAAGGAAGAAAAAAGUGCAGCUCCUCUCCCUGAGCCCCUUUGGGACAGCAGCCACAGAUGAAGAGCAAGCAAUCAACGUGUCAGGAUAAAAUUAGAUUGCCAUGGAGUGCAAGGUUUGAUCCAAUGUCUGUAUCAGAUCUGGGCUCAGCUCUGCACAUCACCAUCAAACACUCCCUGCGGAGGGGCUCGGCCCAGAGCAGCUCCUUUCACACCGGGGGGGAGCAGGGAAGGAGCCAGGGCUGUCCCUGUGCCUGGGCCUGGAUGUUUAAUGGUGCUGAGGGGGCUCUCCCUGCCUGCUGGGGAGCCCUGCCUGCACAAAUCCCCCCGAUCCCUUCCCAUGCCCUGCUGUUCCCUGGGUGGCCUUUUGGGGUGAGGGAAAUGGGUUUCUGGUGCUGGCUGGGAUGGGAGAUGGGGCUGCAGCAUCCCCAGCACCAUCCCUGGCAGCCAGUCCAGGCAGAGCCAGCCCAAAGCCAAGCCAGGGCUGUGUCCACCUGGGUGCUGGGCCAGGAGCUGCCUCUGCAGCCCAGCCCUGCCUGUGACACAGCCCAGCCCUCAGGGACAGCCCCAGGAGGGCCAGGGGCUGCCUUACAGCUUGCACAGCAAACAUUCCUAUUUUGACAUCAUUUUUUUCAACAAAAUUCCCUAAUAGUAUCCAGAAAUUAUAAUAUUUGUUUCCAUUUAACUAGAAAAAAAUAAGGAACAUAUUUCAAAUAUUCAUUGCAAUGGGUUUGGUUUGGGUCAGACAAAGUGCUUUGGUUCUCUUGAAGGACUCGGGAGAAGCCAAGCUGGACAAUGUGAGCUCUGUGCAGGCACAGCCCCCUGCCCUGCUGGAUUUCAUAAAAGCCUUUUCCUAACUCAAAAAUUGCCUCCCAAAGGGACUCGUGAGCGUGGCUGAGGUUGGGAUGGGAUUUUGGGGAGGGCACUGAGGCAGUUCCCCUCCGUAACCCUCAGGCACUGCAAUUGGUACCGUGGUGAAUCCUGAGCCAUGGGAACACCCCGCUGAGGGCAGGCCUGCAUUUGGGCUAAUUGAGGAUAAAAUCCAUUUUCUCUGGGUGUGCAAACAGUGCUACACACACACAGAGCUGUCUGUAACCCUUGUGCCCCCCUAACCUCCCUGUGAGGGGUUUAACCAGGUUCUGCUCACACCCAGCACCAGGGUCCGUGUGGGAGGCUGCCAGGGUCUGUCCUGAGCUCCUCCAUCCUCCAGACCGCCUCCCCCUGCUCUGCCAAAGGGCUUCAAACUCAUGCUCCAGUCUUUGAAACUAAUGAGUUUUCAUCGACCUGGCUGGAACUGGAUCAGCUUUGAGGCUGGCAGCCCUCCCUGCCAGUGCCUCACUGAAAUGGCUCACCUGCUCCAGGUAGUCAGGCACAAUUCCUGCCCUGCAGCUCCUCUGCUCACCCGCUCCACAAUUCCUGCCCUGGAGCUCCUCUGCUCCACAAUUCCUGCCCUGGAGCUCCUCUGCUCACCCGCUCCACAAUUCCUGUCCUGGAG